GACGAACGCUGGCGGCGUGCUUAACACAUGCAAGUCGAACGGUAAGGCCCUUCGGGGUACACGAGUGGCGAACGGGUGAGUAUCACGUGGGUGAUCUGCCCUGCACUUCGGGAUAAGCCUGGGAAACUGGGUCUAAUACCGGAUAGGACCACUGCCUGCAUGGGUGGUGGUGGAAAGCUUUUGCGGUGUGGGAUGGGCCCGCGGCCUAUCAGCUUGUUGGUGGGGUGAUGGCCUACCAAGGCGACGACGGGUAGCCGGCCUGAGAGGGUGACCGGCCACACUGGGACUGAGAUACGGCCCAGACUCCUACGGGAGGCAGCAGUGGGGAAUAUUGCACAAUGGGCGCAAGCCUGAUGCAGCGACGCCGCGCGAGGGAUGACGGCCUUCGGGUUGUAAACCUCUUUCAGCACCGACGAAGCGCAAGUGACGGUAGGUGCAGAAGAAGGACCGGCCAACUACGUGCCAGCCGCCGCGGUAA
rnacentral:rRNA from 1 species